rnacentral:rRNA from 1 species
AUGGAGCUCCCAUCCCUCCCCUGGAGUGCGUCAAGGUCCUUCUUCCCCUCCCCGCAGCAUAAAAACCUUGUGAUUGAUUCAUGGUCAUGGCACAACAACAAUGGAUACUUGCUAAUUGGUGAUGGUGGUCGUGCCGCUGCCGCCUUCGGCACCAUCCCAGCUCGCAGCCUCAGUCGAUUUGCUCUGCGUCUCCAACCGUCCAAAGAUCCCAACCCUAUCAUCGUCUCCUACCACGAGCUCGGCAACGAGAUCGGACAUGGCAAGUUCGGCUCCGUUCGGAUCUAUGGUAGGAAGACCUGUGAAAUCCAACUCGCCGUUAGGCCUUUUCUGUCGCCUUCUCUCUGGUUCGUGCUGAUCGGGUGGGUGGCCCUGGUGAACUACGGCAAGGACUACGGCCGCCUCGUCGUCAUCGUCGACGUUGUUGACCAGAACAGGAACGUCGAGGACACGGUCCACCGCGAGGUCGAGAUCAUGCAACACCUCUCGGGCCACCCCGCCGUCGUCACGCUGAAGGCCAUCUGCGGUGGUUGCAAAUCGAAGUUGCAGCUGGGCGUGGUGUGGAGCGGGCAUGCCUCUGUGCUGCGCGUGCUGCCGGUGGCAUGCGUCCUGAAAGGGACAAGGCGGUUGGGAGUCAGGGACUACAUAUCCCUCCUCUCCUUGAUUUUCUGUCCAAAAUAUAAGUGUGAUGAAGUUCAGCACUAUGGCUGCCAUUAUGUGUUAUGUAAUGGUCUAUGCAUUAACUUGAUCAUGGGAUUCUCCGUGAUGGCAGCAAAGAGACAACAUGGGGUGGAGAUGCAGGUCGUCAGUACACUGAAGGCGUUGCGUUCUGUCAGGGCGUUGGGUCCGAUGCAGAGCAUCGGAGACGUUGCCGUUGUCCUUGCACGACUCAUCAGAUCCAACCUCGGGCCCGCGCCAGCUAUGUACGGAGCCCUCGAUACGGUGCUCAGUCUCUGCAACUGCAACUUGAUGACUUUGUUGAGGCUUUUCUGCGGGGUCAGGGGAGACACCAGUGAUCAAGCGGCAGCGGCCUACAGCCUGGGAGACCUGCACAAGGGAGCCGCCAAGAUCUCCAACGACAUCCUCGACUCUGUCGGUAACCAGUUCUUGCCUCUUGAUAGUUUCUUUUUGCAAAGACAAUGGGUUGAGUGCCCAACAUUCCCGAAGAUGGCACCCGAGACGUGUCCGCAGCCAGAAGCAGCGAAGUUGCCGUACAAGAAGCUGGGAGAUUCAGAUCUCCUUAUUAGCGAGAUAACUCUUGGAACACAAAGAACAGAGAAGGAAUCCCAUGAUAUGCUCUCUUAUUCUUUUAAUCAGGGCAUCAACAUACUGGACACCGCAGAAAUUGCCGAGUAUAUGCAUAAGACAGCCGAAGAUAGCAGACAGCGACAAAAAGUGAAUGAAAAGUGUGGCCACCUAUCUGCCACCGCACAUGCACGCCUCAAGCGGCGCCACCUGGUGGCGCUCCAACCACUAGUUACUUUUACUUGUCCACCUUUGGAACUCCCCAAGCUGAUCAACAGUAGCCGAACUUGA